AUAUAUAUAUAUAUAUAUAUAUAUUUAUAUAUAUAUGUGUGUGUAUAUAUAUAUAUAUUCUAUUGCUACAAUGAAAGCUAUUAUUAUAUACUAAUUCAUACGUAUAACUCAUCGUCUUUGCGCCAGACGAAGGAAAAAUCCUAAAUUUACGUAGGUCUCACGAUCGUUUUUCUAUUAUUCUAAAAUGUCCCGUUUUUCAAACUGCGGGUAAAUAACGCAUGGUCUCGUUUUGUACUUUAAUAAAUAUUAGAUAAUAAAAUCAUUGGUGUUUCACUUAAGGACUUUAAAGAUAUUCGUCCUCAGGCUUGAACGCUUUGAGACAGAAAGCAUUUGAGUACCAAGAACGACACUGGUCCAGAACUUCUUUUGCAUGUUUAAAACUCGUCAAAUACUGUACGAGGAUAUAAACGUCAUUAUAUAUUAUUAAUAAUAACUUUGUGUAUGUAUGAUCGAUAGCUUUUCUCUUAAUGGGAGAAAAAGAAUAAUAAAAAUUAAAAAGGAAAUGAAAACAAAAAAGAUAAACAAAAGAAAUGAGAUAAAAUAGCACAAUGGUAAGAGACGAAUGUAAAUAAUUAAUGGCUCUUUUUCUCUCUCUCUCUCUCUCUCUCUCUCUCUCUCUCUCUCUCUUUCUCUCUGUGUCUGUGUGUUUGUGUGUAUGUAUAUAUAUAUGAAUGAAGAAAUUUGAGUUUUCUGAAAUAAUGUUAAGCAUUAAUCAUCAUUAUCACACAGCCUUAUUAACGUUUGCUGAAUAUUAUUUACAACAAGGCUGUAUAUUAACUGUAUAUUCGUUGAUGGGUGAUUAAAUGUGACUUUGAAAAUAAUGCAAAGUUAUGUAAAUACGUAUAUGUAAACAUCACUAAUAAAAAUAAAUGAAGAGCUACCAAUGGAUUGGUUGAUUAAUUGAUUGGUUGGUUGGUUGGUUGAUUGGUUGGUUGUUGGCAUCCAUUCCUGUAGGCUCGUUAGCGUGAGGUGGACGGCAUUGGAUUAAAGUGACUGGAGAUAUUACUGCGAUAUUUUAGUAAACAUACCAGCUAAAUAUGCCACACUCUCUGGUGAUACUUCAAACUUAUCUCUUCUGUAAGGUUUAGCUACAAUAGCUAAUAGCAUAGUUAAUACUCUAGCUGUCCUUGUUACCGUCGUUGGUGUGGGAUGUCUAUAUCCUUUCAGAAGAUGUCCCACUAACGCAAAAUGGAAGUUAGACUUAAAUGAUAAUCCUACUGCAUUGUCCAAUUGUUUGAAAUGUCCUUCCAGUGGUUCACGUGUCGACAUCAUUACUCGUUCUAAAGUCUUUAAACAAAAUUAAUUGACAAAAUGUUAAAAAAAUUAAUAAACGUAUUAUUGAUAAAAGAAUGAAUAAUAUAUCAAACCUUGUCAUCAAAAGUACCCUGAGAAUCAAGAGUGUGUAGAUUUUGUUCGAGAAGAGCCAAACCAGAUGCAUAUAGAGAUGCUUCAUCCAAUUGAAGAACAGACGUGGCUACCCAGAAUAAAUAUCUGUGUAUCGGCGAUUCCUAUAAAAAAGAAGAAAUAGAGUAUGAAUUAUUUAAAGGGUUAUAAAAAAUAAAAAAAAAAAAAAAAAAAAAAUAAAAAAAAAGAGAAUAAUAAAAAGAAAUAAUAAAAAAAAUAAUACUAUUCAAACAUAAUGCUUACAGGCCUAAGAAGUGGUUGUAAACGUGUAAGACACAUAACAAUUGCUUCCAAAAGUGUGAUGUCAUUAAAACUUUCCAAAGCUUUCACUAAUAUCCUUAACAAUUGUUUCAUAUCCUGAUCAUUUAUACUUUUACUGAUACAACCAAAAACGAUUAAAGCACGCGGUUGUAAAGCAGGAUUAAAACAGAAUGCAAAACUCUUAGCCAAAGAUGUCCAUGUUUUAAGCCAAUCGCAAUUGGGAAUAUCUCUCAUGCAUGCUUCCAUAAUCUCAAGAAGAGCAUCGGUAAUUACUUCCAAAUUCGUUAAAGAUAAUCUUUCUCUGUCUUGUGUUCCACAAACGUUUCUUUCGUUUCCAUAACGUUUCUCGUUUGAGUAACGAUGAGCUGUUCUAAAUGCCGUUACAGCUGCAGACUUUACUUGGCUAAUGCCAAAUAGAAGAUAAAAUUUAGGCAAUGAAAAUUCAUCCAGACUCAUCCUUAAUAUUCUGUGUGUAUCCUCAGAGAAUUGUGGCGAACUGCACGUACACAGAGAAUGUAUACUAUUGAUAACUAAACCAUGGGUAGAGGCUCGCAUACUAAGACUUCCAGAACAUACUAGGAAAGUAACGGUGUGAAAGAUAUAUGGUAAAUUUUUUCCAACGUCUAAACAAUUAUUAAACGAUAACAUCAAUAAAUAACGUGCUAAAAUGGCUAUGCUAUGCCACAUUUUAUGUUGCUCAAGAGAAGUUGUCGGGGAAGUGCAAGUUUUAUCAACCACUCUGCAUAAUCUUCCAAUUACUUUCUUGGCCACUAAUUGAACAUUUCCAGAUGCAAGAGCUACAGCUGUAUCCGCUAUUAUUUCAACUCUCGGCGAACCCAAUUCAACGCUACGUUGAAUAAAAUUAUCAAGAACGGUAUCUAUUAAUUCAGGUAAUCUACCAAUGGUGCUCCAAAUUUUAGCUUGAAUACUUGGAUACAUUUCAACCUCUUUGAUCGUUAAAGUAAUAAGUUUAUCUAUUAUUUGCGAGACUUGCUUCUGACGUUUGCCACCUUCGUCAUUUGGUUUGUAAAACUUGACCAAAUUCUUUAACCAUGGCGUCAUAUAUUCUAAACACAAAUGUUUUAAUUCGAUGGUAGACAUACGAAAUCCUUGAAUGCAUUCCUCCAGAAAUUCGAGGGUCAAAUGUGGAUCGUUUGCAGCUAAUGUCUCGCUAACGUGUUUAAUAAAUAUUGUAUUGUUCGAUGGUAUACAUAAACCAGAGGUUUCCAAUAGUUGGCCUUCAAUUUUUAAAUCAAACGUCGCUGUUAAUGCACACAAUUGAUUGUAUGCAGCCGUUCGUAAGUUUGGAUCAGAACUGCCAAGAUUUAACAGAGCCAUAUUUAAUAAGGUACCAGGCACAUCUUUAGGUCGUAUCUUUGGAUGAACUGACAUAGAAUCUGAUUGUGAUAAUUCCCAUCUAUUUCUUAUGUGAAUUAUAGCUUGCACAAUGCUAUCACAGUCAUUGUGGAUAAAUAAUAAUGGACUAACUUCAUUGGAGAUAAUAAGGGAAAACUGAUUGUCAUCCAUCAAUGAAACCUGGUCUAUUUCUGAAGCAUAAUAUACAUCAUUUAAAAGAACGGAAUGUGAUAACACUUUACAUUUUUCGGCAGAGGUAAUUUGUAAAGCAGUUGGUCCAACCCUUACAGAAAUUUUAGUAUCUUUAUGGGAUAAUUUCAAAGCACUGGUAAAAACCUUCAAAUCCUCAUCAAGAGAUAAAGUUGCACCAGGUAAUUUCUGAUUCUCUAUAUCGAUAUAGUCAUUUAAACGGCCAGGUCCAUCGAUGAAAACUACUUUGCGAUUUCCCUUCAAAGGUGCCAAGAUUCCAUCAUGAAAUUUUGUAUAUUCUCGUACCCAACUAUUACAAUUAUAAAUGUAUGCAGCGUGAAUAUUUUCAUAGGCUACUGCUGGCAGCACAUAAAACCACUUUUGCAAGAAUUCCGUUCUAAAUCGAUUAUCAGAACAGGCAUGAGUGAAAUCAACAACUAACUCAAAUGGCGAAUGGCAGAAUGGUUUUAAAGGUCACCACGAUCGGAUUCUUCGGGUUGAAGAGGAAGUCCACGUAAUAAUGCUCCUACUGCUUCCAUACAUGCUUGAUCCAAUUCUCUGAAGAAGUAUAUUAAAUUAAAGUAAAAAAAAAAAAAAUAUAUAUAUAUAUAUAUAUACAAUCUUUGUACUAUGUAUUAAUCUUUUUUAUUGAAAUUAAUUUCACAAUAUUAUAUUAUAUUUUGUAUGAUAUUCUGUAAUACCUUGUAAUACUCGUAACAUCAGCACCACUGGGUGGAGUUAUUUGAUGCGUAGUGCCCAUUAUCCAAUCAGUCAGGUAUUCCACUAAUUUAUUUCGAAAUUUCAUUUCUUGUCGAAAUGCUAAAUCGUCACGUCUUUUCAUCAUUGUUUCGACGAGUUGACACAAGUUGGUCUUAAUAUGAAUGGAAUGUACCGACAUAUCCAAAUGUCUAACAUAUCUAACAAUUGCUAAUGUCAUUCCUUCUAUACUAGUCAUUCCAAGAUAUUCCGAUGGUUGAUCAGUUUUAGAAUCCAAAAUAUUCUUCAUUAUAAAGAUCGUAUGUUCAAUAAAUUGUGUAUUAACGUCUAAUACAAUUACUUGCCCUUGAUCAAAGAAUUUUUCUACUAUACUUUUUAUUUGGUCAAAUAGUAUUGGAUAUAAAGCAGGGCUCAUUUCGUGACCAACUAAUUCCUGAACAUGCUUUUGUAUUUGUGCUCCAAACUUUUCAUUGUUACAUGUUAAUAAUCUGAGAAGAUUGAACACAAAUUGUGUAACUAGACAAUAUUGUACAUCCUGAUUGACGUUCGAUAAACAAGAUAUAGAUUCUAAUUGCUUUGCUGAGCCCUUUUUAGCUUCAGGAUUUGAUGGUAAUCCAGAAAGCAAUCUAUUAGAAAAACGCUUUUGCAAACACACUCCACCUAAUGCACAAAGAAAUCCUGUCAUAUUUGCCCAUUCAUUAAUUUGUUCAUCCAAUUCAUGUUCCGAAUUUUGAUGAGAAGCUCUUCUCCUUCCGGUACUACGAUGAAACGAUUCAACUUGACCAUCUUCUGUCUUUGUUUUCGGAUAAUUAGAUAAUUGUCGUAACAUUGCCUCCCAGUUUUUAUACGUUUCUUCCCAUGCCUAAAUACGAACAAUAUUAUUAAUAAAAAUUAUUGCAUUUUAAUAUUUCUCAUCUAAUCAAAAUAAAUAAAAAAUACACACAGGUUGAACACCAUUAACACAAUGUUCAAUUUUUCUCAAUAAGGCCAUAAUCCUCUUCUGUAAUGCAGCUCGUCCUAAAAAUUAAUUCUAAACAGUCCCUUAUUUCCUUAAAUAAUAAAUAUGAAAUAUAAAAGAACAAUGACAAGAAAAAUGCAUAAAAAAAAAAGAAAAAAAAAAUCUUAUUCUUCUAAGAUGGCUUAGAUCAUAUAUAUAUAUAUAUAUAUAUAUAUAUAUAUAUAUUCAUUCGUAUGCAAACUUACCAUGAUUAUAUUCAUGAGAAUUUAUUCUACUAUCCCCGCUGGCUGUUACAAACAUAAGUUCUUUAAUAUUUCAUUAACUUUCUUUUUCUGGUAUUUGUAUCUAAUCCUUCUUGUUCAACGACUAAUUGUGCACAAUGUUGUAUUUACAUUGAGUGUGAAACUCACCAGUGGUUAAUAUAGUAGAAGUUUGAGCUAAUUCAAUAUAUAAAUGAUAAUUGGGAAGUAGGCACGUCACAGUUACUUCAUCGCUACCACAGCGAAUCUCAGCUUCUUCGCACAAUAAUGCAAAACAUGACAUAGAUACCAAGACAGCUUCCAUAUCAAUGCUCCAUAAAUACAU